UACGGGGGGGGCAAGCGUUGUUCGGAAUUACUGGGCGUAAAGGGCUCGUAGGCGGCCAACUAAGUCUGACGUGAAAUCCCUCGGCUUAACCGGGGAACUGCGUCUGAUACUGGUUGGCUUGAAUCCGGGAGAGGGAUGUGGAAUUCCAGGUGUAGCGGUGAAAUGCGUAGAUAUCUGGAGGAACACCGGUGGCGAAGGCGGCAUCCUGGACCAACACUGACGCUGAUGAGCGAAAGCCAGGGGAGCAAACGGG
rnacentral:rRNA from 1 species